GAUAAGGUGCCCGUACCGCAAACCGACACAGGUAGAUGAGGAGAGAAUCCUAAGACCAGCGGGAGAAGUGUUGUUAAGGAACUCGGCAAAAUGACCCCGUAACUUCGGGAUAAGGGGAGCCUACGCGAGUAGGCCGCAGAGAACAGUCUCAAGCGACUGUUUAGCAAAAACACAGGUCUAUGCUAAAUCGAAAGAUGAUGUAUAUGGCUGACGCCUGCCCGGUGCUGGAAGGUUAAGGGGAAGUGUUAGAGCAAUCGAAGCACUGAACUUAAGCCCCAGUAAACGGCGGCCGUAACAAUAACGGUCCUAUGGUAGCGAAGUUCCUUGUCAGGUAAGUUCUGACCCGCACGAAUGGCGUAACGACUUGAGAGCUGUCUCAACAACAUACCCGGCGAAAUUGAAGUACUGGUAAAGAUGCCAGUUACCCGUGAUAAGACGGAAAGACCCCAUGGAGCUUUACUGUAACUUGAUAUUGAAUUUUUGUAUUACAUGUACAGGAUAGGUGGGAGACAGAGAACCAAUGCCGCCAGGUGUUGGGGAGUCGAUGUUGGGAUACCACUCUUGUAAUAUGAAGGUUCUAACCUGCACCCGUGAAUCCGGGUGGGGGACACUGUCAGGUGGACAGUUUGACUGGGGCGGUCGCCUCCUAAAAGGUAACGGAGGCGUUCAAAGGUUGGUUCAGCACGGACGGAAAUCGUGCAACGAGUGCAAACGCAUAAACCAGCCUAACUGCGAGACCGACAAGUCGAGCAGUAACGAAAGUUGGAGUUAGUGAUCCGGCGGUAUGAGAGUGGAAUUGCCGUCGCUCAACGGAUAAAAGCUACCCUGGGGAUAACAGGCUGAUCUCCCCCAAGAGUCCACAUCGACGGGGAGGUUUGGCACCUCGAUGUCGGCUCAUCGCAUCCUGGAGCUGUAGUCGGUUCCAAGGGUUGGGCUGUUCGCCCAUUAAAGCGGUACGCGAGCUGGGUUCAGAACGUCGCGAGACAGUUCGGUCCCUAUCUAUCACGGGCGUAGGAAAUUUGAGGAGAGCUGACCUUAGUACGAGAGGACCGGGUUGGACGUACCGCUGGUGCACCUGUUGUUCUGCCAAGGGCAUAGCAGGGUAGCUAAGUACGGACGGGAUAAACGCUGAAGGCAUCUAAGCGUGAAGCCCCCUUCGAGAUAAGAUUUCCCAUAGCGUAGGCUAGUAAGGACCCAUGAAGACUACAUGGUUGAUAGGCCGGAGGUGGAAGUGCAGUAAUGUAUGCAGCUAACCGGUACUAAUAGUCCGAGGGCUUGAUC
rnacentral:rRNA from 1 species